rnacentral:rRNA from 1 species
AGAAUCAACGCUGGCGGCGUGCCUAACACAUGCAAGUCGAACGAGAAAGGGUAGCAAUACCUGAGUAAAGUGGCGCACGGGUGAGUAACACGUGACUAACCUACCUUUUAGUGGGGGAUAACCUAGGGAAACCUGGGCUAAUACCGCAUAAUACCUACGGGUCAAAGCAGCAAUGCGCUGAUAGAGGGGGUCGCGGCCGAUUAGCUAGUUGGCGGGGUAAUGGCCCACCAAGGCAGUGAUCGGUAUCCGGCCUGAGAGGGCGCACGGACACACUGGAACUGAAACACGGUCCAGACUCCUACGGGAGGCAGCAGUGGGAAUUUUGCGCAAUGGGGGAAACCCUGACGCAGCAACGCCGCGUGGAGGAUGAAGUCCCUUGGGACGUAAACUCCUUUCGAUCGGGACGAUAAUGACGGUACCGGAAGAAGAGCCCGGCUAACUUCGUGCCAGCAGCCGC